rnacentral:rRNA from 1 species
CUGGCGGCAGGCCUAACACAUGCAAGUCGAACGGUAACAUUUCUAGCUUGCUAGAAGAUGACGAGUGGCGGACGGGUGAGUAAUGCUUGGGAACUUGCCUUUGCGAGGGGGAUAACAGUUGGAAACGACUGCUAAUACCGCAUAAUGUCCUCGGACCAAACGGGGCUUCGGCUCCGGCGCAAAGAGAGGCCCAAGUGAGAUUAGCUAGUUGGUAAGGUAACGGCUUACCAAGGCGACGAUCUCUAGCUGUUCUGAGAGGAAGAUCAGCCACACUGGGACUGAGACACGGCCCAGACUCCUACGGGAGGCAGCAGUGGGGAAUAUUGCACAAUGGGGGGAACCCUGAUGCAGCCAUGCCGCGUGUGUGAAGAAGGCCUUCGGGUUGUAAAGCACUUUCAGUUGUGAGGAAAAGUUAGUAGUUAAUACCUGCUAGCCGUGACGUUAACAACAGAAGAAGCACCGGCUAACUCCGUGCCAGCAGCCGCAGUAAUACGGAGGGUGCGAGCGUUAAUCGGAAUUACUGGGCGUA